rnacentral:rRNA from 1 species
CUGCUCAGUAACACGUCAAUAAUCUGCCCUUAAGUCUGGGAUAAUCUUGGGAAACUGAGUCUAAACCCGGAUAGAUAAAACUUAUUGGAAUAUUGUUUUAUCCAAAGGUAACGCUUAAGGAUGAGUUGGCGGCUGAUUAGGCUGUUGGCGGUGUAAAGGACCACCAAACCUUUGAUCAGUAGGGGCCGUGGGAGCGGUUGCCCCGAGAAGGGUACUGAGAUACUGACCCUAGCCCUACGGGGUGCAGCAGGCGCGAAAAUUUUACACUGUACGUAAGUGCGAUAAAGGAACUCCGAGUGCUUAUGCUUUGCAUAGGCUUUUGUCAAGAGCAAAGAUCUUGGCGAAUAAGUGGUGGGUAAGACAGGUGCCAGCCGCCGCGGUAACACCAGCGCCACAAGUGGGGAUCGAAUUUAUUGGGCCUAAAGCGUUCGUAGCUGGUUUAGUAAGUUUUGGGUGAAAUCGUUGCGCUUAACAAAACGACGUGCUUAAAAGACUGCUAGACUUGGGACCGGGAGGAGUCAGGGGUAUUCCUGAGGGAGCGGUAAAAUGCUAUAAUCUCAGGAGGACCACCUGUGGCGAAGGCGCCUGACUAGAACGGGUCCGACAGUGAGGAACGAAAGCUAGGGGAGCAAAGCGGAUUAGAUACCCGCGUCGUCCUAGCUGUAAACACUGCGAGCUAGAUGUUGCUUAUCCUACGUGGAUAUGCAGUAUCGAAAGGAAGCUGUUAAGCUCGCCGCCUGGGAAGUACGGU